UACGGAAGGGGCAAGCGUUGUUCGGAAUCAUUGGGCGUAAAGGGCGCGUAGGUGGUCUUGUAUGUCUACCGUGAAAGCGUACGGCUCAACCGUAUUUAGUCGGUAAAAACUGCAGGACUUGAGGCUGGGAGGGGCUGGUGGAAUUCCCUGUGUAGCGGUGAAAUGCGUAGAGAUGGGGGAGAACACUCGUGGCGAAGGCGGCCAGCUGGACCAGUUCUGACACUGAGGCGCGAUAGCGUGGGGAGCAAACAGG
rnacentral:rRNA from 1 species